rnacentral:rRNA from 1 species
AUUGAACGCUGGCGGCAUGCUUUACACAUGCAAGUCGAGCGGCAGCGCGGGGGCAACCCUGGCGGCGAGCGGCGAACGGGUGAGUAAUGCAUCGGAACGUACCCUGGAGUGGGGGAUAACGCCGCGAAAGCGGCGCUAAUACCGCAUAUGCUCUGAGGAGGAAAGUGGGGGACCGCAAGGCCUCACGCUCUGGGAGCGGCCGAUGUCCGAUUAGCUAGUUGGUGGGGUAAAGCUUACCAAGGCGACGAUCGGUAGCUGGUCUGAGAGGAUGAUCAGCCACACUGGGACUGAGACACGGCCCAGACUCCUACGGGAGGCAGCAGUGGGGAAUUUUGGACAAAUGGGGGCAACCCUGAUCCAGCCAUGCCGCGUGAGUGAAGAAGGCC